rnacentral:rRNA from 1 species
GUAGGAGGCGAGCGUUAUCCGGAUUUACUGGGCGUAAAGAGGGCGUAGGCGGUUUUUCAAGUCGAUUGUAAAAUCUCCCGGCUUAACUGGGAGGGGCCAGUCGAUACUGUUAGACUAGAGAGCAGCAGGGGGAGGUGGAAUUCCCGGUGUAGUGGUGAAAUGUGUAGAUAUCGGGAGGAACACCAGAGGCGAAGGCGGCCUCCUAGGCUGUUUCUGACGCUGAGGUCCGAAAGCGUGGGGAGCAAACAGGAUCAGAUACCCUGGUAGUCCACGCUGUAAUCGAUGGACACUAGGUAUAGGGAGUAUCGACCCUCUCUGUGCCGAAGCUAACGCAUUAAGUGUCCCGCCUGGGGAGUACGGCCGCAAGGCUAAAACUCAAAGGAAUUGACGGGGGCCCGCACAAGCAGCGGAGCGUGUGGUUUAAUUCGAUGCAACGCGAAGAACCUUACCAAGGCUUGAUAUGUCGGAAGUAGCGACCCGAAAGGGAAGCCACCUGUUGAGUCAGGAGCCGUCACAGGUGCUGCAUGGCUGUCGUCAGCUCGUGCUGUGAAGUGUUAGGUUAAGUCCUGUAACGAGCGCAACCCCUGUUGCUAGUUGUUUUCUCUAGCGAGACUGCCCUGCAAAAUGGGGAGGAAGGUGGGGAUGACGUCAAGUCAGCACGGCCCUUAUGCCUUGGGCUACACACACGCUACAAUGGGUGGUACAAUGGGUAGCAAUAGAGCAAUCUGGAGCCAAUCCUAAAAAGCCAUCCUCAGUUCGGAUUGCAGGCUGAAACCCGCCUGCAUGAAGUCGGAGUUGCUAGUAACCGCAGGUCAGCAUACUGCGGUGAAUACGUUCUCGGGCCUU